UACGUAGGGUGCGAGCGUUGUCCGGAAUUACUGGGCGUAAAGGGCUCGUAGGCGGCCAACUAAGUCGGAUGUGAAAUCCCCAGGCUUAACCUGGGAACUGCAUCCGAUACUGGAUGGCUUGAAUCCGGGAGAGGGAUGCAGAAUUCCAGGUGUAGCGGUGAAAUGCGUAGAUAUCUGGAGGAAUACCGGUGGCGAAGGCGGCAUCCUGGACCGGCAUUGACGCUGAUGAGCGAAAGCUAGGGGAGCAAACAGG
rnacentral:rRNA from 1 species